CGAGAUAUGCCGCAUAGGAUAGCGCGCAGCAGCAGUAGCACUCUCUCUAUCUCAUUCUCUCUGUCAUCAUCCCCAGGCAGGCUCCAAUGGAAGUCACGGCAACGUGAAGAGUGGAGUUGUACCUCUGCCCAUUUCCCAUCUCCCCACGCCCCAAGAAACCAGGGCCACGCCAAGAACAACCCACGGCGCCGACCCAGCCCGGUGCCCAAUUCCCCGAUCCCGCCGCCGCCGCCCGCCGUUCUGCUCUCCCCCGCGCGUGUUGGGUCCUUUCGUUCUUGGCCUGGGGCGGAACUCGGAAGGCAGGCAGGCAUCCGAGGAGGAGGAGAGAGGAGGGAGGGGCAGCGGACCACGGGCGGCACGUGACGAGCAGUUGGCGAAUGGCGAUGGCGAGAAAGAGCAGCGGCGAGGGGCGGGCGCGCGCAUAAAGAGCAGGCGCCUGCGGCCGGGGGUCCCUCGCUGGGGAGGGGAUCUGAAUUCUUGGGCUUUUGGGUGGAGCACCGCGCGCAGAGAGAGAGAGAGAGAGAGAGAGAGAGGCCGAGAGGAAUGGAGGCGGCGGCGGCGUUCGGCACGUUGGAGGGGGUGGUGGGGGAGAUCACGCGGCUGCACCGCUCGCUGCCGGCGCGGCCGACGCUGGACGACGUGGAGGCGGCGGAGGCGCUCGCGCGCGCCGCCGACCGGGAGGAGCGGGCGCGCCUCGACGGCGUCGAGGCGCUGCGGAGGUCGCCGCUCGUGCCCGAGGAGCUCUUCUACGUUGCCCAGGAGAUGCACCGAGCGCUCGCCGGCUUCCAGUGCCGGGAGCAGAAGCGCGACGCCACGCGGAUCCUCGAGCUUGACGCGCUGCACACCCUCUUCGACGACCUCAUCCAGCGAGCGUCCCAGUGCGUGCCGUCCACCUCCACCGGCGCCGUGCCGCGCAUCACCUCCACCGCCGCCGCCGGUGCUGCCUCCUCCUCGUCGGCCUCAUCAUCGGGGGCGUUGCCAGCUGGGGGCCGCUCCUCUUUGGUCACCAACGGCUUCAGUGCGGAGAGGACUGUGGGCAGGAGCAUGGGUCGUGUCUCCAUGGACGACAGCUACGUCACCAAGGCCAAGGCGCCAAUGUGGGACGGCGGAGUCGUGGCACCAACUCCACGUAAGCCGGGAGGAACUGCGGCCGCAAACUCCGCCGCCGUUCGACUGGAUGGCAGUUAUGGAGAUGAUAAGGAGAAAAUGAGCCUCAUUAAGCUAGCUAGCAUGAUUGAAGUGGCUGCGAAGAAAGGCGCUCGGGAACUCAACUUCAAUGGAAAACUCAUGGCCCAGAUUGAGUGGAUACCUGAUUCAAUUGGAAAGCUCACUGGGCUUGUUACCCUUGAUAUUUCGGAGAAUCGGCUUGUGGCUUUGCCACCAACAAUCGGGAAGCUUUCUUCUUUGACCAAGCUGGAUCUUCAUGCUAAUCGAAUAGCUCAACUCCCCGACUCCGUUGGGGAUCUUCGCAGCUUGAUUUGCCUCGAUCUGAGGGGCAAUCAGCUUACAUCACUGCCCUCUAGUAUUGGGAGGUUAGCAAAUCUUGAGGAGCUUGACGUGGGUGCAAACCAUAUCGUCGCGCUACCUGAUUCAGUAGGAAGCCUCACACGAUUGAAGAAGUUACUGGUUGAGACAAAUGAUCUUGAUGAGUUGCCUUACACAAUAGGUCAUUGUGUUUCACUGGUGGAAUUGCAGGCAGGCUAUAAUCACCUGAAGGCUCUUCCAGAGGCUGUUGGGAAGCUAGAAUCUCUAGAGAUCCUCUCUGUGAGGUACAACAAUAUCAGGAGCCUUCCAACUACAAUGGCAUCUCUCACUAAGCUGAAGGAGGUUGAUGCCAGCUUCAAUGAGCUUGAGUCGAUUCCGGAGAACUUUUGCUUUGUCACUUCUCUUAUUAAACUGAAUGUCGGGAACAACUUUGCUGACAUGAAAUCCCUGCCUCGCUCUAUUGGUAACCUUGAGAUGCUGGAGGAGUUGGAUAUAAGCAAUAACCAGAUUAGGGUGCUUCCAGAUUCUUUUGGAAUGCUGCAGCAUCUCCGUGUGCUUCGUGCAGAAGAGAAUCCCCUACAGGUGCCACCAAGGGAGAUAGCUUUAAAGGGAGCUCAGGAUGCCGUCCAAUACAUGGCUGAAUAUGCAGCCAAGAAAACUACAAAGCCACAGCCGGUGAAGGCGAAGAAGAAUUGGGCUCAGUUCUGCUUUUUCUCCAGACCCAACAAAAGGAAGCAUGACCGGAUAGACACUGACAUGACUGAUUGAAGGUAGGCGAAGAAUUCGAGAAGUGUUUUCUUUGUUCACUGCAUCAUAAAUGUUUCUAUCGUGAUGGAACCGGUGCUUCCCCUUCGACUAAUGGCCGAUGGUGCAGGAUGCCAGAUGGUGCGUGGCUUAUCCACCUUGUGCCCGUGGCUCAGAGAAUUUUGCGGUGAAAUGAGUAAAGUCGACGAUCAGGACAUGGUGGUUUCUCUUCGUGUCGUUUGUAAUUUAUUUAUUUUUUGGCGGGAACUUGUUUGUAUCUGUCACUAGUUUUCUGCGUUUCUGAAUGAAUGGUCGUUCUUCCGACCAGGGUUGGAUUGUGCUGUUUGCUGGAGGCAAUGAGAAACGAAACUUUUUCUGCA